rnacentral:rRNA from 1 species
UACGUAGGGGGCAAGCGUUGUCCGGAUUUAUUGGGCGUAAAGCGCGUGUAGGCGGCCAGAUAGGUCUGCUGUGAAAACUCGAGGCUCAACCUCGAGCUGUCGGCGGAAACCAUCUGGCUAGAGUCCGGAAGAGGAGAGUGGAAUUCCUGGUGUAGCGGUGAAAUGCGCAGAUAUCAGGAAGAACACCAAUGGCGAAGGCAGCUCUCUGGGACGGUACUGACGCUGAGACGCGAAAGCGUGGGGAGCGAACAGG